rnacentral:rRNA from 1 species
GACGAACGCUGGCGGCGUGCUUAACACAUGCAAGUCGAGCGGUAAGGCCCUUCGGGGUACACGAGCGGCGAACGGGUGAGUAACACGUGAGCAAUCUGCCCUUCACUCUGGGAUAACCCCCGGAAACGGGAGCUAAUACCGGAUACGACCACUUCGGACAUCUGAUGGUGGUGGAAAGUUCUGGCGGUGAAGGAUGAGCUCGCGGCCUAUCAGCUUGUUGGUGGGGUAACGGCCCACCGAGGCUUCGACGGGUAGCCGGCCUGAGAGGGUGACCGGCCACAAGGGGACUGAGACACGGCCCAGACUCCUACGGGAGGCAGCAGUGGGGAAUAUUGGACAAUGGGCGAAAGCCUGAUCCAGCAACGCCGCGUGAGGGAUGACGGCCUUCGGGUUGUAAACCUCUUUCAGCGCAGACGAAGCGAAAGUGACGGUAUGCGCAGAAGAAGCACCGGCCAACUACGUGCCAGCCGCCGCCGUAACAC